GCGUAACGCGUGGGAAUCUGCCCUUGGGUUCGGAAUAACAGCUAGAAAUGGCUGCUAAUACCGUAUGAUGACGUAAGUCCAAAGAUUUAUCGCCCAGGGAUGAGCCCGCGUCGGAUUAGCUAGUUGGUGAGGUAAGAGCUCACCAAGGCGACGAUCCGUAGCUGGUCUGAGAGGAUGAUCAGCCACACUGGGACUGAGACACGGCCCAGACUCCUACGGGAGGCAGCAGUGGGGAAUAUUGGACAAUGGGCGAAAGCCUGAUCCAGCAAUGCCGCGUGAGUGAUGAAGGCCUUAGGGUUGUAA
rnacentral:rRNA from 1 species